CCUUGUGGUCUGGGGUGCUUUAAUCGGCUGAGAGAUACCCAUGGAACCUGAUGCAGUUAAUACUGUCGAAGGAAGACCGUUUUAGUCAAAC
rnacentral:ncRNA from 2 species